CUGAAAAUGAAGUUGACAACUGAACUCAUGGUGCUGGCUGCAGGUCAUUACGUUGAUUGAAAUGAACUUUAGAAACCCAUUUAGAAUGUCUUGGCCAGAGAAGCUUUCCUUGAUGCUGUUCCUGUAGUUCUUUUCCUGCCACUUCUCAAGAUGUCAAGGCCACAUACAAGAAGAGGGUUGUAAGCCUGGGGGGACACAUGGACUGCUGCCCAGAAUCACACAAGAGAAUGGUCUGACACUACAUGGAAAGAGAGGGUGCUGAGAAAUCUUAAGUGUCACAUUGUUAAAAGCUG